rnacentral:rRNA from 1 species
GUAGUCGAUGGGAAACGGGUUAAUAUUCCCGUACUUCUUACAAUUGCGAUGGGGGGACGGAGAAGGCUAGGUGGGCCUGGCGACGGUUGUCCAGGUUCAAGUGCGUAGGCUGAAGAGUUAGGUAAAUCCGGCUCUUUUUAAGGCUGAGACACGACGUCGAGCACCUACGGGUGUGAAGUCAUUGAUGCCAUGCUUCCAGGAAAAGCCUCUAAGCUUCAGAUUGUAAGGAAUCGUACCCCAAACCGAC